rnacentral:miRNA from 1 species
AGCACUGCAAGAGGGAGAGAGAU